rnacentral:rRNA from 1 species
GGCGUAGGUGGCCAUGUAAGUCAGGAGUGAAAGCCCUGGGCUCAACUCAGGAAGUGCUUUUGAUACUGCAUGGCUUGAAUGUGGGAGAGGGUAGUGGAAUUCCAAGUGUAGUGGUGAAAUACGUAGAUAUCUGGAGGAACACCGGUGGCGAAGGCGGCUACCUGGCCCAACAUUGACACUGAGGCCCGAAAGCGUGGGAUCAAACA